rnacentral:misc_RNA from 1 species
GAGAGAGAGAGAGAGAGAGAUUUAUUGGUAAGAUUUUAAGGUAAAUGGAACUAAGCACGUACAACUAUACAAGAAAGAAAACCAAACUCAACAACCACUAUAUCGAUAAAAUAAAAAAUAAAAAAAAGGCAACUAUCCAACCAUUUCUGUGACAGUAAAGUAAUAACCAAAAUAGAGAAUAAAGAUAAGAGCCAUAUUUAUUUGAGAAACAGGGAUGCAAGGAAAAUUAACAGAAUCGUAACGAAUUUCCCAACGUUAACCAUCUUCAUAGACAGAAGCCUUCAAAUAUAAUAAACCAAAAAAAGGACAAUUUUUAUUGUUAAAAAAAUAUUACGUUUACACACAGGACAAAGUAGAUGAAUUAAGCAACCAAAAUUUCUGGUAAGUUCCAAAACAUAAGCCAUACAGUAAUGCUCAUCAAGCUUCCAGUACUCCUGGCAGGAAUCCUGAGGAUACAUAUUUGCACUUUAAUAUGCCAUAUCAAAUGUUAUUGAUUUGAGGGCUUUAACAUAUGCACUUCCACGCAUGGUUGUAAUUAAUACCAAAUUAUAAAAUUGUUGUAUAAUUGGUAAUAUUAAAUGGAUUAGCUAUGAUUACAAACUGGACUAUACAGGUGUUGGAUUUUUAUUUUUCAUUUUGUUGUCAUUAGAAGACACAUAUAUUAAUGCUUCAUUUGGUAAACUUGCGUUUUAGCUUCUUACUAUUAUAUUUUACAAUAGUAAAUGGGGGCAAAAAAGACAAGUACAACAAAAGGUUUACCAAACAAAUUAAAGAAGCAGCAACUUGCAAGAAUUUCCCACCAACGGGAGAAAACAUGGACAUUUAACGUUGCACACGCAUUCAAACCAGUCAACCAACAAGACCUAGUUCCAAAGGAAUAAGUUACCCUGGAAUCACACCUAACCCUCAACAAAUGGAAACGUAAAAUAAAAUAUGAAUGCAUAAAAUCCAAACUAUACAGUACAAAUAGAAAGCCCACAAGCAACCCACAGAGCACACAAAAAUCCCCCUCUAUACUAUUAAUGCAAUUCACAUUUGAUAAUAACGAUAAUUAAAAUAGCCACAUAUACAUAUUAUAUAAGAUUUUUACUAGAAAAAUAACAAAAAAAAAGGGUCAAUAUGAAGUCAAAUCUUCAGCAUCUAUAUUUUUCUACCUAAAUUUCCAGGUAAGCUUAGAAAAAGUAAUAUUUUAUUAAAUUACCAAAGCAUGGCAUGCAUUUGAAAAAGGAAAAGAUUAAAACUGAAAUCAACUAAGAUCACAACCACGGAACUACCAAGAAAGAAAACUAAAAUAAAAUAUCAACAGAAUGCAUACCCUUAAGAGAGUGGGAAAAUGGGUUAUAACAUAAUUAACCAACACCAAAAACCCAAGUGAUAUCAAAAUAUAGUAAACGUCAACAGAAAUUUGAAAAAGGUGUCAAAUGAAUUAUAACUUCAUCAAACAGAAAUGCAUA